rnacentral:rRNA from 1 species
AUUGAACGCUGGCGGCAUGCUUUACACAUGCAAGUCGGACGGUAGCACAGAGAGCUUGCUCUUGGGUGACGAGUGGCGGACGGGUGAGUAAUGUCUGGGGAUCUGCCCGAUAGAGGGGGAUAACCACUGGAAACGGUGGCUAAUACCGCAUAACGUCGCAAGACCAAAGAGGGGGACCCUCGGGCCUCUCACUAUCGGAUGAACCCAGAUGGGAUUAGCUAGUAGGCGGGGUAAUGGCCCACCUAGGCGACGAUCCCUAGCUGGUCUGAGAGGAUGACCAGCCACACUGGAACUGAGACACGGUCCAGACUCCUACGGGAGGCAGCAGUGGGGAAUAUUGCACAAUGGGCGCAAGCCUGAUGCAGCCAUGCCGCGUGUAUGAAGAAGGCCUUCGGGUUGUAAAGUACUUUCAGCGGGGGGGAAGGCGGUGAGGUUAAUAACCUUGCCGAUUGACGUUACCCGCAGAAGAAGCACCGGCUAACUCCGUGCCAGCCGCCGCAGUAA